GCCAAAACCAGUAUUUCUGCACAGAUGAGCAACAAAUACUGAAAAGAGAAAAGGUCAAAGGAGGAAGGCACCACCUGUGAGUGUGUGUAGGGGUAGUUCCUGCUUCUGUUUCAUUCUUGAGAAGCUCAUUUCUCCUGGCCUUACUCACGGACAACAGGAUUCAGACCGGCACUCGAGAUGUUUAGCAUGUGGCACCGGUGUCUCCUGCCUAGCAUCGCGUUCUAUAC